rnacentral:lncRNA from 10 species
CUGGCCCCACCCACAUCCUGCUGAUUGGCCCAUUUUACAAGAGACGAUUGGUCCGUUUUGACAGGGUGCUGACUGGUGCAUUUACAAUCCCUGAGCUAGACACAAAAGUUCUCCAAGUCCCCACUAGAUUAGCUAGAUAGAGUGUCCACACAAAGGUUCUCCAAGUCCCCACCAGAGUAGCUAGAUACUGAGUGUCAAUUGCUGCAUUCACAAACCCUGAGCUAGACACAGGGUGCUGAUUGGUGUGUUUACAAACGUUGAGUUAGAUACAGAGUGCCGAUUGGUGUAUUUACAAUCCAUUAGCUAGACAUAAAGGUUCUCCAAGUCCCCACCAGAGUAGCUAGAUACAGAGUGUGGAUUGGUACAUUCAUAAACCCUGAGCUAGACAAAGGGUGCUGAUUGGUGUGUUUACGAACCUUGAGCUAGAUACAGAGUGCCCAUUGGUGUAUUUACAAUACCUUAGGUAGACAUAAAGGUUCUCCAAGUCCCCGCCAGACUCAGACGCCCAGCUGGCUUCACCCAGUGGAUCCCACACGGUGGCCACAGGUGGAGCUGCCUGCCAGUCCCAAGCCCUGAGCCCGCACUCCUCAGCCUUUGGGUGGUCCAUGGGACUGGGUGCCAUGGAGCAGGGGGCGGGGCUCGUCCGGGAGGCUCCAGGGGCACAGCAGCCCACGGCAGGUGGCGGUGAGGCUCAGGCAUGGCGGGCUGCAGGUCCCAAGCCCUGCCCCGCAAGGAGGAGCUAAGGCCCUGCGAGAAAAGGAGGCAGCUAAGGCCCGGUGAGAAGUCGAGCACAGCAGCUGCUGGCCCAGGGGCUAAGCCCCUUACUGCCCGGCUGGCGGGGCCGGCUGGCUGCUCCGAGUGUGGGGGCCCGCCGAGCCCACGCCCAUCCAGAGCUCACGCUGGCUCACAAGCGGCACGCACAGCCCCGGUUCCCGCCUACGCCUCUCCCUCCUCACAUCCGGGCAAGCUGAGGGAGCCGGCUCCGGCCUUGGCCAGCCCAGGAAGGGGCUCCCCCAGUGCAGCCGCCGGCUGAAGGGCUCCCCAAGUGCCGCCAGAGUGGGCGCGGAGGCCGAAGAGGCACCGAGAGCGAGCGAGGGCUGUGAGGGCCGCCAGCAAGCUGUCACCUCUCAGUACCGCACAGAAAUACCGAUCAAAUAAUAUUCAAUAACAAAAUGAUACAAACCUACAAAAGGAAGGGCACAGGACAGGAAGAAGUAUGAACAAGAAAAAAAAAAUAGGCUGGGUGCGGUGGCUCACGCCUGUAAUCCCAGCACUUUGGGAGGCUGAGGUAAGCAGAUCAUGAGGUCAGGAGAUUGAGACCAUCCUGGCCAACAGGGUGAACCUCGUCUCUACCAAAAAUACAAAAAUUAGCUGGGUGUGGUGCCGCGCGCUUGUGUCCCAGCUGCUCUGGAGGCUGAAGCAGGAGAAUUGCUUGAAGCCGGGAGGUGGAGGUUGCAGUGAGCCAAGAUCGUGCCACUGCACUCCAGCCUAGUGACAGAGCGAGACUCCGUCUCAAAAACAAACAAACAAAAAAAAAAAACUGGCCCAAAACUGAUAAAAAUGCAGUCUGAAUAAGUAGAGCAAAAGGCGCAGAAAAUGUUUCCUCUUAGAAGAGGCCUUGAAGACUUUAUAUCUGAGAACUAAAUAUAGCAAUUUUAUUAAGUUAUAUAUAAUAAUAUUGAGAUUUUAAAAUACAGUGAUGGAAAAACUAGAACACUUAAAGAUAGAACAGCCAACUUCUCAUCAGAAAUAUGAAAGUUAUAAGGCAAAUAGUUUUCACAGUAUAGUUCUAGAACCAGCAAUAUUGGCAUCACUUUGAACAUGAUUAGAAAUUCAAACUCUCAAGACCUACCCAGAUCCACUGAUUUGGAAACUAUAUCAGUAAUCUGGUUUUUUUAAUAAUUUUUUUAAUUUGUAAUUUUUUAAUUAUUAUUUUUGUAGAGACGAGGUCUUGCUGAGUUGCCUAAGCUGGUCUUGAACUCCUGGACUCAAGUGAUCCUCCUACCUCGGCCUCCCAAAAGCAGCAAUCUAUGUUUUAACAGACUCUCCCUGUGAUUCUCAUGUGUGUUUAUGUUUGAGAACCACUGCUUCAAGACAAUGAGGUCCUUAUCUACCUGCUAGAGCCGGGGAUGUUUACUAAUGGACUGAUAUAUUACCUAAGAUUUCGGCUAUGAUUUAAUACAGAUAUGAGAAGAAAUAUGAUGUUCAUUUUAAGAUGACUCAGAUAGUGUUAACUAGGGAUGGAUUAAAUUGAGAGCCCAGGCUGGAGUGCAGUGGCGUGAUCUUGGCUCACUGCAAGUUCCCAUCUCCAGAGUUCACACCAUUCUGCUGCCUCAGACUCCGGAGUAGCUGGGACUCAGGAGCACGCCACCACGCUCGGCUAAUUUUUUUGUGUUUUUUUUAGUAGAGAUGGGGUUUCACCGUGUUAGCCAGGAUGGUCUCGAUCUCCUGACCUUGUGAUCCGCCCGCCUCAGCCUCUCAAAGUGCUGGCAUUAGAGGCGUGAGCCACUGCACCCUGCCUAAAUUGAAAGUUUACGGAAUCUGGGCUGGGCACGGUGGCUUAUGCCUGUAAUCCCAGUACUUUGGGAGGCUGAGGCAGGCGGAUCACUUUAGGUCAAGAGCUUGAGACCAGCCUGGCCAAUAUGGUGAGACCCCGUCUCUGCUAAAAAAAUAUAAAAAUUAGCUGGGCAUGGUGGUCACCUGUAAUCCCAGAUACUUGAGAGGCUGAGGAAGGAGAAUCGCUUGAACCCAGGAGGUGGAGGUUGCCGUGAGCCGAGAUUGCACCACUGCACUCCAGCCUAGGCAACAAAGUGAGACUCUGUCUCUAAAUAAAUAAAUAAACAAAUAAAAAGGUUUACUGAAUCUGAAAUGUUUGUGAUCCAGGCAAAAAGUGCUAAAUAUCUAAUACAGGGAAGUAAUUGGGAGCUCUGUUCUUUCUGCUCAAAUUUUCUGUUAACAUAAACUGCUCUAACAAAUAAUAUAUUACUUUUGAAAAUGUACUGUAUUUUAAUCUGCUGUGGGUUGCCUUUAACAACAUGAAUGGAUACUUAAUAAGAAAAUGUCAUUUUAAUCAUUUAUUGGCUUUUUAAAAAAUAUAUAUGUAAUAGAAAUUUAUAUCCUAAAAUAUAUCCUUUUGCUUUAGAAUGAUGGCAGAGCUAUAUAACUUUGGCAAAUUUGGGUGGAUUAUAUUCGAAUCACUAAUUGCUAAUACUAAAUUAUCUCACUAGACCUUUUAACACUGUGUUUGUUUUUUGUUUUUGUUUUUUGUCUUUUUUUGCAUAUUGCUUUUAUUUUGCAGAAAAUGUUUUGCUGAUUGUCUUUGGCUAUUUUGUCAGAAGAAAAAUAUAACUGUUAUAAGUUUAACAAUACAAGAUACAAUUACAUGUGCUCAAAAUAAACUCAUUCUAAUGGACUGAAUGGUGAAAUUUCCAUUUCAACUAAAAUCUGUUGUUCUACACAAUGGAUUGAUUAUAUCCUUAACAGCUCAAUUACUAUCUGAAAAGUACUCUAAAGCUAUAAGAAAUAGAAUUAAGUGUGAUUUCAUGUCACUAAAGUAAGAUCAGUGGAGUUUAUAAAUGUUAAUAUGUCCAAGUCAUCUGUAUGCUAUUAUUAGAAAUAAAAAAUAAAUUUCUGGACCCUAGCAAAUAUAUGUUUAUAAUGAAUUAAUAAUAACAAAUUAGGC